rnacentral:rRNA from 1 species
GACGAACGCUGGCGGCGUGCUUAACACAUGCAAGUCGAACGGUGAAGCGCCUUCCUUUUUUGUGGGUGUGGAUGAGUGGCGAACGGGUGAGUAACACGUGAGUAACCUGCCCCCUUCUUCUGGAUAACCGCAUGAAAGUGUGGCUAAUACGGGAUAUUCUGGGUCUGUCGCAUGAUGGGUCUGGGAAAGAUAUUGUUUCGGUGGGGGAUGGGCUCGCGGCCUAUCAGCUUGUUGGUGGGGUGAUGGCCUACCAAGGCGGUGACGGGUAGCCGGCCUGAGAGGGUGGACGGUCACACUGGGACUGAGACACGGCCCAGACUCCUACGGGAGGCAGCAGUGGGGAAUAUUGCACAAUGGGCGCAAGCCUGAUGCAGCGACGCCGCGUGAGGGAUGGAGGCCUUCGGGUUGUGAACCUCUUUCGCCAGUGAAGCAGGCCUGCCUCGUUUGUGGGUGGGUUGACGGUAGCUGGAGAAGAAGCGCCGGCCAACUACGUG